UAGUGGGAAGACUUCUAGGUAGA
rnacentral:piRNA from 1 species